GCAGAGUCAUUGUCCGCAGCUCUGUACUUCAUCUCUGAAAAUGUGUGGUUCAUUUGAGAAUUCAGUUAUCAGUCUCUCAGCACUAAAUGUGAGAACUGAUUUUUUUUUUCCAAAUUAACAGAAAGGUUCCAUCUGACAGGGUGUAGAAACCAGAUUGUUGUGAGUGUGGGGAUGCAGGCGUGUUCAUGACAGGACCAGAGGACCAGGAAACACAAGCUUGGAGAAAUCAGAUAGCAUUUCAAAAAAAAAAAAAAAAAAAAAAAAGGAAACAUAAUGUUUACACAUUUGUGUGUGCAUAAAAUGAAUAACUUUUGAGACAUCUCCAUAGACUACAGAAUACCUCUGUUGCCAGAUAUUAUAUAUUUCCUUGUGAGACAAUGUUCAGCGGUCUUUAGGGCAUUGAAAUAAUUUGAGUGAAUAUCUCACUUUGCGUUUUACAAACUGCUUUAUGUCUUUGGGUGAACUAAUGAAUCAAUGUUAGGUGACCUUUAAUUUUUGCUCAUGCUAAAGAAAAGCAAAAAUACCAUUAUCUAGAAAUAAAUCCUGAAAUAUCUUGAGUUUUUAAGUAUAGCCUCACUACUUUAAUGCUUCUUUAAAAAAAAAAACUAGUUUUAUAAUAAUACCAAUAAUAUGUUUAGUCUAGUUUGAAUCAGAAAGAAUUGGAAAGAAUCAUACAUUGACAUUUAAAAAAUUAAAAUAUAUGAAACCUAUAUAUUUCUUUUACAAAUUCGUAUGUUAUAGACCUCGUGCUUUAGACCAAAGACCAAACCCGAAUUUCAGUUUCCUAGUGAUUAAAAUAACUUCUGAUUUCAAAUAUGUACAACCUUGGUUUGAUAUGUGCUAAAAGUCAUGUUUUCCUUCUGCACGUCAUAAAUUCUUCCAAUAUGUUUUAGUUUUAACCAUCAAUUCUAAUUUCAGCUUCCAAUAAUUUAGAAAAUAACUUGGCUUUUUCUGUAUAUAUUUGUGGUUAGAAAACAAAUUUCCGCUGCCUAGUGGGCUAUCUAGUUACUGUAUUCUUUAGCCAUCCAUUAGCAUAGAUGGAUGCCUAGCCCACAUUUUUUUUUUUAUUUGAUGAAGGCUGUUUUCCACAUCGUUCAUGUCCUUGACUAAUAACGACUGCUGCAUAAUUUCAACGAAAAUCCAUCAGCUUUAAAAUGAUGUUUCUCCUUGACUUUGACCUUUAUGUGUGAUGGAAAGGUAAUACUGACCACGUCCUAUAGUUACUACAAAAUGAAAAAGGAGGCAGAGCAAUGUAUAAAGAGCACAGAGAUUCUGAGUCAGAGCAAGGUUUCCAUGCUAGCUGGCAUUGUCCUGUAGCACACUCCUUUGACCAGGGAACGCUGGGAAGAUGUGUAGAGCUCUCUGUCAGUGGUUUUACUGGAGAGAGGGUGAAAGGGCAACCUGAUCUGGCUUUGGUACAAUGAAACCACAAAGAUCCUUGAGAGAGCCCAGCCCGGUGAACACAAGCAGACCUAAUUACAUGCCCAGAGUGUGAGGCUUUUCCAUUCAUUUCAGGAAGACCUGUUUUCUUUUAGUGGAAUUUCCUAAAAGGAUCGUGCCUGUGGAUAAACCGGCCUGCUUGUUUUCUUUUCGUUUCUCUCUCUCUUUUUUUUCCCUCCUGUAAUUGAAAUGGUAUGUGAGUCAUCACUCCACUUCCUUUCCCAGUCUCACGGUCGUACCAGGAUGCUCUGCCCUCAUUGGAACCAGCAGAACUUCCUCUGUGGUCAUAGACUAGGAUAUUGCACAUUCUCCAAAGAUUCAAAUUUCUCCACAGGAUGCAUUUUUAGAAAAAUAAAACCAAGAAACAUGACUUCAAAUAAACUACAAGAGCUCAGAUUAAUAUUGGAACCAGAGACCCAGUCCUGAAUCGCCUGUAAAACACUUUUAAUAAACAAUUUUAAUUCUAACACGGUUGAAGAUAUAAGCCAUGUCAGAGGUCCAAUAGCAUUUUUUAAUAAGUAAGAUGAAUUACCUAUUUUAUAUGAGCUCAGAAUUCUUCACUAUUUCAUUUUUCCAUUGUUUCAGGGGCGUUAGUAAAUGAGUAUAUUUUUCUGACCAUUGGAGGAAAGCCUCUGCAUCAGCCUUACUUGUGGUUAUAUAAAAAGAUGCUAUAUCCAGAGUCUAAGAUUUCCUUUACUAAAAAGAAAAGAAAAACCACAAUAGCAACAAACAAACAAGCAAAACACAAACAAACAAAGAAGCCAGAGAAACAAUUGGAGGAUGCUUUCCCAGGGUGUGUUGUUUUCUUCCUUUUCUAGGGCUGGGCCAGGAGCAUUUCCUCUUCCAUGCUUCCAUGCGCGUUGCUAUAGUCUUGUUCAGUUCAUGUUUAGGCACUCAUAUUGUGGAGACUUUAUAGGUAAAAUUUCCCUGACAUGUUUACAAAAUGCACUCUUCUCGUCGGGAAAUCCUAGCCCUCUGACUGUUACAGCCUUUUCAUCCCCUCUUCCCUGAUGUAAUAGUGAUGUAAUACAUAGGUCAGUUGGGGCUAAACUAAACCAGAAAUCAUCUAAUCAUAUACAUACAAAUAACACUAUCAUUAUACUGAGUCAGCAUAUUGGAUUUUAUAUUUAGAAAUAUACACAAAUGUUAUAUACAUAUACAAAAUUCUUAGCAAAAUUCUUAAUUUUCGAGUUACAACUUCAGGGUUUUCUUCACGUGUUUCAUUGGAAGUACUGGUGCGAC
rnacentral:lncRNA from 1 species